UACGUAGGGUGCAAGCGUUAAUCGGAAUUACUGGGCGUAAAGCGUGCGCAGGCGGUUAUGCAAGCCAGAUGUGAAAUCCCCGGGCUCAACCUGGGAACUGCCUUUGUGACUGCAUAGCUAGAGUACGGUAGAGGGGGAUGGAAUUCCGCGUGUAGCAGUGAAAUGCGUAGAUAUGCGGAGGAACACCGAUGGCGAAGGCAAUCCCCUGGACCUGUACUGACGCUCAUGCACGAAAGCGUGGGGAGCAAACAGG
rnacentral:rRNA from 1 species